UGGGGAAUCUUGGACAAUGGGCGCAAGCCUGAUCCAGCCAUGCCGCGUGAGUGAAGAAGGCCUUCGGGUUGUAAAGCUCUUUUUACCAGGGACGAUAAUGACGGUACCUGGAGAAUAAGCCCCGGCAAACUUCGUGCCAGCAGCCGCGGUAAUACGAAGGGGGCUAGCGUUGUUCGGAAUUACUGGGCGUAAAGCGCACGUAGGCGGAUUGUUAAGUCAGAGGUGAAAUCCCGGAGCUCAACUUCGGAACUGCCUUUGAUACUGGCAAUCUAGAGUCCGGAAGAGGUUAGUGGAAUUCCCAGUGUAGAGGUGAAAUUCGUAGAUAUUGGGAAGAACACCAGUGGCGAAGGCGGCUAACUGGUCCGGUACUGACGCUGAGGAACGAAAGCCAGGGGAGCGAAUGGGAUUAGAUACCCCCGUAGUCCCUGAGCGGGCUGGCAAGGCGCAU
rnacentral:rRNA from 1 species